UUGGAGGGCAAGUCUGGUGCCAGCAGCCGCGGUAAUUCCAGCUCCAAUAGCGUAUAUUAAAGUUGUUGCAGUUAAAAAGCUCGUAGUUGAAUUUCGGGGUUCUUCCGUUGGUCAGGCUAACCAGUCUGUACUAGCGUGUAGAAUCUCUACCUUCUGGGGAACCAUCAUGUUAUUAAUUUAGCGUGGUGGGAAACCAGGACCUUUACCUUGAAAAAAUUAGAGUGUUCAAAGCAGGCUUACGUCUGAAUACAUUAGCAUGGAAUAAUAAAAUAGGACGGUGGUCCUGUUUUGUUGGUUUCUGAAUCACCGUAAUGAUUAAUAGGGAUAGUUGGGGGCAUUAGUAUUCAAUUGUCAGAGGUGAAAUUCUUGGAUUUAUUGAAGACUAACUUCUGCGAAAGCAUUUGCCAAGGAUGUUUUCAUUAAUCAAGAACGAAGUUAGGGGAUCGAAGACGAUCAGAUACCGUCGUAGUCUUAACCAUAAACUAUGCCGACUAGGGAUCGGACGAUGUUAAAUUUUAUUGACUCGUUCGGCGCCUUACGGGAAAC
rnacentral:rRNA from 1 species